rnacentral:rRNA from 1 species
AUGGCCGCCCGCCUGCACCAUUUCCGCCUCCUCGCCGCGCUCCUUCUGUUGAUCGGCGCCCCCUCUUCAGCUAGCGCGGCCGGCGACGCCGUCGCGUCAGGGAACGGGAAGGUGCCCGUUGAGAUCUACUACGAGUCCCUGUGCCCCCCCUCAGCGCUGUUCGUGACGGACCGCCUCGCCGAAGCCUUGGAAGACCGCCUCCUGGAGGCCGCGGACGUGGCUCUCGUCCCCUACGGCAACGCCGAGGUCGGCAAGGACGGCACGAUCACCUGUGAGCAUGGCCCCGAGGAAUGCCUUCUCAACACCGUGGAGGCUUGCGCCAUCGACGCAUGGCCGGACGUGAAUGUGCAUUUCGGUUUCAUCAACUGCGUGGAGGGCCUCGUGUUGAACGAAACACAAGGGGAGUGGGAGUCGUGCUUCCACAAACUGGGGCUCGACCCCAAGGCUGUCACGGAGUGCUACAAGAGUGAGCACGGCCACAAGCUUUCACUCAAGUAUGGGAAACAGACUGGUGCGCUUGUGCCUCCGCUCAGCGGGUCCCACAGGUGGUGGUAG